rnacentral:rRNA from 1 species
UUGGUUAAGUUAGAAAGGGCGCACGGUGGAUGCCUUGGCACUAGGAGCCGAAGAAGGACGGGACUAACACCGAUAUGCUUUGGGGAGCUGUACGUAAGCGUUGAUCCAGAGAUUUCCGAAUGGGGGAACCCACUAUCUUUAGUCGGAUAGUAUCCUUACGUGAAUACAUAGCGUGAGGAAGGCAGACCCAGGGAACUGAAACAUCUAAGUACCUGGAGGAAGAGAAAGAAAAAUCGAUUUCCUGAGUAGCGGCGAGCGAAACGGAAAGAGCCCAAACCAAGAAGCUUGCUUCUUGGGGUUGUAGGACACUCUAUACGGAGUUACAAAAGAAAGUUAUAAAUGAAGCGGUCUGGAAAGGCCCGCCAAAGACGGUAACAGCCCGGUAGUUGAAAUGGCUUUCCCUCCAGAGUGGAUCCUGAGUACGGCGGAACACGUGAAAUUCCGUCGGAAUCCGGGAGGACCAUCUCCCAAGGCUAAAUACUCCCUAGUGACCGAUAGUGAACCAGUACCGUGAGGGAAAGGUGAAAAGCACCCCGGAAGGGGAGUGAAACAGUUCCUGAAACCGUGUGCCUACAAGUAGUUAGAGCCCGUUAAUGGGUGAUAGCGUGCCUUUUGUAGAAUGAACCGGCGAGUUACGAUUUGUUGCAAGGUUAAGCGGAAAAAGCGGAGCCGUAGCGAAAGCGAGUCUGAAUAGGGCGCAUAAGUAACAGGUCGUAGACCCGAAACCAGGUGAUCUACCCAUGUCCAGGAUGAAGGUAAGGUAAUACUUACUGGAGGUCCGAACCCACGCACGUUGAAAAGUGCGGGGAUGAGGUGUGGGUAGCGGAGAAAUUCCAAUCGAACUUGGAGAUAGCUGGUUCUCUCCGAAAUAGCUUUAGGGCUAGCCUCGAGGUAAAGAGUCAUGGAGGUAGAGCACUGUUUGGACUAGGGGCCCUUCUCGGGUUACCGAAUUCAGAUAAACUCCGAAUGCCAUGUACUUAUACUCGGGAGUCAGACUGCGAGUGAUAAGAUCCGUAGUCGAAAGGGAAACAGCCCAGACCACCAGUUAAGGUCCCCAAAUAUAUGUUAAGUGGAAAAGGAUGUGGGGUUGCUUAGACAACCAGGAUGUUGGCUUAGAAGCAGCCACCAUUGAAAGAGUGCGUAAUAGCUCACUGGUCGAGUGACCCCGCGCCGAAAAUGUACCGGGGCUAAACAUAUUACCGAAACUGUGGAUGAACCUCUUUAGAGGUUCGUGGUAGGAGAGCGUUC